rnacentral:rRNA from 1 species
GCAUAUCAAUAAGCGGAGGAAAAGAAACCAACAGGGAUUACCCUAGUAACGGCGAGCGAACCGGGAAUAGCCCAACUUGAAAAUCUCCCUUUGGAGAAUUGUAGUCUAGAGAAGCGCCCUCAUGGGCUGGCAGAACUCAAGUCGGAUCGAAUGCCGCGUCAGAGAGGGUGAUAACCCCGUCGGUUCUGUCCUAGUCCUUCCACGAGGUGCUUUCCACGAGUCGAGUUGUUUGGGAAU